GACGAACGCUGGCGGCGUGCUUAACACAUGCAAGUCGAACGGAAAGGCCCUGCUUGCAGGGUCCUCGAGUGGCGAACGGGUGAGUAACACGUGGGUGAUCUGCCCUGCACUUCGGGAUAAGCCUGGGCAACUGGGUCUAAUACCGGAUAGGAGCCAUUUUUAGUGUGAUGGUUGGAAAGUUUUUUCGGUGUAGGAUGAGCUCGCGGCCUAUCAGCUUGUUGGUGGGGUAAUGGCCUACCAAGGCGGCGACGGGUAGCCGGCCUGAGAGGGUGGACGGCGACAUUGGGACUGAGAUACGGCCCAGACGCCGACGGGAGGCAGAAGGGGGGAAUAUUGCACAAUGGGCGCAAGCCUGAUGCAGCGGCGCCGCGGGUGGGAUGACGGCCUUCGGGUUGUAAACUCCUUGCGCUAGGGACGAAGCUUGUUGUGACGGUACCUAGAUAAGAAGCACCGGCUAACUACGUG
rnacentral:rRNA from 1 species